rnacentral:rRNA from 1 species
UACGAAGGGGGCUAGCGUUGCUCGGAAUCACUGGGCGUAAAGCGCACGUAGGCGGCUUUUUAAGUCAGGGGUGAAAUCCUGGAGCUCAACUCCAGAACUGCCUUUGAUACUGAGAGGCUCGAGUCCGGGAGAGGUGAGUGGAACUGCGAGUGUAGAGGUGAAAUUCGUAGAUAUUCGCAAGAACACCAGUGGCGAAGGCGGCUCACUGGCCCGAUACUGACGCUGAGGCACGAAAGCGUGGGGAGCAAACAGG